rnacentral:tRNA from 1 species
GGAGAGGUGGCCGAGUGGUUGAUGGCGCACGCUUGGAAAGCGUGUUAAGAGAAAUCUUACGCAGGUUCGAAUCCUGUCCUCUCCG